UAUUGCGCAAUGGACGAAAGUCUGACGCAGCCAUGCCGCGUGCAGGAUGACGGCCCUACGGGUUGUAAACUGCUUUUGUACAGGAAGAACCUCCCGCACGUGUGCGGGACUGACGGUACUGUAGGAAUAAGCAUCGGCUAACUCCGUGCCAGCAGCCGCGGUAAUACGGAGGAUGCAAGCGUUAUCCGGAUUUAUUGGGUUUAAAGGGUGCGUAGGCGGAAUGAUAAGUCAGUGGUGAAAUCUUGCAGCUUAACUGUAAAAUUGCCAUUGAUACUGUUGCUCUUGAGUACGGUUGAGGUAGGCGGAAUGUGUAAUGUAGCGGUGAAAUGCUUAGAUAUUACACAGAACACCGAUUGCGUAGGCAGCUUACUAAGCCGCAACUGACGCUGAGGCACGAAAGCGCGGGGAUCGAACAGG
rnacentral:rRNA from 1 species